UUUUGGCUAAGAUCAAGUGUAGUAUCUGUUCUUAUCAGUUUAAUAUCUGAUAUGUGGGCCAUGUGUCCACAACGAUAUUAAAUUUAUUUUUUGUGGGGUAGGGCCCACCGCAGUGGCUUGCCACUGGGGUCCUCGCGUGUCGCCCGGGCGUUGCACUACUGCCCGGUGCCUGGCGCACACCAACCAAAUCUAAUCACAAAUUAUUGUUCGGAAAACAAGAUUUGACGGUGGAAGAGCAGAGACGGCGGCUAUACAUGCGUUCGGUAUCAACGCCCUCUCCCUCCCUGGGCCAUCCGCCUCGUUUCUCCUACGAGCUUGAUGAUGCUCGAUUCAGACUUCAGAGGCCGCCUACCCCCACAUCAAGCUAGUAAACUGCGGCGGCGCCCGGUGUGAGCUGGGCGGAUGUGGCGGUGGGCGACAGUCCGGGGAAUCUGAUACAGCGGACGCCGGGAGAACCCGUCGGAGAAGAGGUGAGCGCGACGUCUCCUGAAAUCAGAUGCACAAAUUUGCCGGGUGGUGAGUUCUUGAGGGCAGACAGUUGUGUACUAGCGCAAGGAGAGAAGAAGCAUCAUAUCACACUGAAGGUCGAUUACUACUCCAAUUAACUACGGUGAGUUGUUUGCGUCUGUUACUCUCUUGUCAUACCAGGACUGCCUACUGAAUUUCCUGUUGUACCAAGUCAAUUUACGCUGUUGAUUGUGCAUAACAAACUGAUAAUAUUGUAGUUACUGGAAUCUGUAUCAGAUAUAUGAUGUGCCAAUAACUUGUUUGCCUUUUACUGUAAGGUGCCUGAAUCCUGACUAGGCAAUUACAUAACUAAAUCUGAUAAUAAUGCUGAAGAACAUAGAUCCAUUUAUAUUGUGUCUGUUGCCACUCGAGCUGCUUUCUACGUUGCUGCAUUUUCCACGUGUAUGCUUAGGAAGAACAGCAGGAUUAAAGCCAUGAAAUACGAGAUAUACAUGUUGGCAUCCUGUUCUUAUCUCGCUUCCUUGACACAUCAGUAUGUCUGCACACUUUCUCCAAAUCAUAUUUGAUACAGAGUUCUAAUGCCUUACAGGCGAGUGAAUGCCCUAUGUUCCGUUCCUCACUGGGUUCAGAAAAGCCGUAUCUAAUUUUAUUUAGCACUCAUUAUACAAAUGAUAUGUGUAUGUUGUCGGAUUUCUCAUGGCUUUUCCGUGGCGAAUAUUUCCCUUAAUUGAAGAACAGACCCAAGCUUUGGGUGAAGCAAGAACCAUCAGUAGGCACUGUACCACUGUAGCAUUUGGCGCCCAAUUAAAGCUUCUGAACCAUAAUGGGAAAGGCUUCAGUGAAAAGGGUUUCUUUGAAAAAUGAACUCUGCUAUAUUUUGAUUCGAUAUUUACCUUUUUUUUGCGAAGGUUUCAUGCAUUGCCUCUACAGUUAUCCAGAUGAACUACAGAAGAUGGCUGCAGCAAUUGAUAAAAUCGGCAGUACUUGUUUUAAUGUUAACAAAAAUGCGCCGUUCAAUAUGAUGUUACUCCAAGGGGGAUGUCCCGUUGAAGGGAUGGGUGCUUGAAGGUUCGGCAUGGAGUGAUGUAGCCAAGCAUGUUAAGAGCAAUUCAUUCCCUUGGUUACAUAUUGUUACCCAGACCAAGACUAUGAUGUAGGUUAUGAUAUGAUAUGAUCAAUUCCAAUUUGACAGAGGAAAGACUGACAGUUACAUAUGGUGAACGUGUAUCCUUCAGAAUUAACGCUUUCCUAUAUUUGGGAAUCUUGAAUCUUCAGAUAGCAUCGUUAGUUUCUUCUUCUUUUAUUGCGAUGAGACAAUGCGUCGAAUAUCUCAAUCAUGUAUUCCUGUUGUAGAAAACAAGCUGACAGUAGCAAUAUUCCGCAAGUACUUUUUUAUAAUAAAAAAGAGAGCAAUGCCCGGAGUUCAAUUUUAGGAAGCCUACAAUUCUCUGAUGUUGCAGGCUUAGUAGUAAUUGUAAAAUAAUAAGUAAAACACUCACUAUUUAGCUAUUUGCUCAACUACUUUUCAGGGCCGUUUGUGACUUUAUAAAGUGGGACUAAAGCCUGAUUUGAGGAGGAUGUACUUGCUGAAGCCGAAGAUGGAGUUCGUCAAAUGUUACAGAAAGAACAAUGAUGUAGACCCUCUAAAAAGAAAUUUAGAGGGCACACAAGACUAGUUGAAAACUGAAACACAACAUAUCACCAGGCACCAGCAGACUGAUUUCUGAAUUUACACAGUAAUUCAGAUAUUGAGGCAGGCAUUUUGGGUCUACCUGUUUUGGUGAACAUGUCGAAUUCUGAGAUUAUACUCAUACAAAUAUAUGCACACACCAGUGUUAUUUAUAUGGGAUUUUCUCUCAUGUAGCUCUAGCAUGUUGUUUUGGAGGAUCAGCGGAGAUUUUAACUCCAAAAUGCUUUCAGCCCGCAGUGUAUAAAUCCAGCCCAAAAUUCA